CAUGGAGUAGCUCAGUUGGUAGAGCGCCCGUUUCCAAAUCGGAGGGUCGCGGGAUCGAUUCCCGCCUCCAUGG
rnacentral:tRNA from 1 species